GACGAACGCUGGCGGCGUGCCUAAUACAUGCAAGUAGAACGCUGAAGGAGGAGCUUGCUUCUCUGGAUGAGUUGCGAACGGGUGAGUAACGCGUAGGUAGCCUGCCUGGUAGCGGGGGAUAACUAUUGGAAACGAUAGCUAAUACCGCAUAAUAGCAGUUGUUGCAUGACAACUGUUUGAAAGGUGCAAUUGCACCACUACCAGAUGGACCUGCGUUGUAUUAGCUAGUUGGUGGGGUAACGGCUCACCAAGGCGACGAUACAUAGCCGACCUGAGAGGGUGAUCGGCCACACUGGGACUGAGACACGGCCCAGACUCCUACGGGAGGCAGCAGUAGGGAAUCUUCGGCAAUGGACGGAAGUCUGACCGAGCAACGCCGCGUGAGUGAAGAAGGUUUUCGGAUCGUAAAGCUCUGUUGUAAGAGAAGAACGAGUGUGGGAGUGGAAAGUUCACACUGUGACGGUAUCUUACCAGAAAGGGACGGCUAACUACGUG
rnacentral:rRNA from 1 species